GAGGUCAGCCGGGGCUUUGUUUGAAAACAAGCACAGCAGGGGGCAGAGAACCCUGAAAAAGGCCAGUGUGUGUGAGCAUGUGUGUCUGAGUUUGUGAACACGUGAGUGUGUGAACAUGCGGCUGUAUGUGUGAAUGUGUCAGGAUGUAAAUACACGUGCAUGUGACUAUGUGUGUGUGUGUGCGAUUUGUGUGUGUGAUGGCAUGACUUGAGUGUGUGAGGUGUGCCCGAGUGUGGGCCUGGGUGCAUGCGGCUGAGCGGGUGUGACCGUGAGGUCUGCUGAGGGUCACUCAGGAGGAGGAAAUGAAGGACAGGAAGCCGGGAAGGAGAGGCUGGCAAAGAGGUGCCUCUUCCCUCAGCUGGAAAUGCAGAUGACGGUGGAGCAGGAGCAGCCAGGAACCAGGCUGCGCAGCGCUGAUGUCAUCCUCCAUUAAUCAGGAGGCAGAUGCUCCCGCCCUUGUGCUCCACCAUCUCCCAGGAAGAGGCAAAGCCAGGUUUCCUGAGCAUCCCGGCCCCAUCUACAGCAUGGGCACUUCCACAAGAGUGUGACCCUGUUUAGCUUAAGAUCUCUGUUUUGCCAGCUGCGGAAGUCCUGCACCACCACAUACUGCUGCCCACUGCCACUCCAUCAGAAGGUAUUGAUCAUCCGUGUACUGCUGUCCUGGGCUGCCCACCACCCCUUUCCCCUUCUGCAGCAGGACACACAGCGCAGCAGACUUCUCAGGGAACUCAGCCUUCCAGGCAGAUGCAGUUACAUGGCAACCAUAGACACCUUUUUUUGGGGGACCGAUAUUCUAUUAAUCUUUACAAGUGUAUUAGUUCCGACUUGCAGCAAUCCAUCAGCUGUAAGUGCAAUAAAUGAUGCUUGGAAAUGAAUACCCACAUUUCAACAGAGAUGGUUUUACAUAUUAAAUUAUCUUUAAAGUUAUAAAUAAAUAACCUAUGUGAAAUAGA